GAUGAACGCUGGCGGCGUGCCUAACACAUGCAAGUCGAGCGAAAGGACGAGAAGCUUGCGCGCCUGAGGUUAGCGGCGGACGGGUGAGUAACACGUGGAUAACCUACCUAUAAGACUGGGAUAAUUACGGGAAACCGUAUCUUAUAACGGAUGAUAUUUUGAACCGGAUGGUGCAAAAGUGAAAGACGGUCUUUGUGACAGUAAUAGCUGAAUCCGCGUUGCAUUAGUUGGUUGGUAAGGUAACGGCUUACCAAGGCAACGAUGCAUAGCCGACCUGAGAGGGUGAUCGGCCACACUGGAACUGAGACACGGUCCAGACUCCUACGGGAGGCAGCAGUCGGGAAUCUUCCGCAAUGGGCGAAAGCGUGACAGAGCAACGCCGCGUGAGUGAUGAAGGUCUUCGGCUCGUAAAGCUCUGUUGUUCGGGAAGAACAAAUGUGUAUGUACCUGUGCACAUAUUGACGGUACCGAAUGAAAAAGCCCCGGCUAACUACGUG
rnacentral:rRNA from 1 species